GCCGGGACAACAUGGCCGUUACAUAAAUCCGGUGCGUGUUCUGGCUUGUGUUGUUGUUGUGGACUGAGGUGUAAGGUGCUGCUCCUCAUGGCAGCUGUCCCACACGUAAUGUUCCUAAUGUGGAGGCUGUAGGUGAGCCCAUAAGUGGAUUUGUGAAGCGAGCUAGGUUCAGUGACCAGAGGUGGAGCGGACCAAGAUAGAGAGCGACGCUGUGACCCAAACCUCCAUGUUAAGAACAGAUAAACCCAGUGGGGAGAACGCAGUCGCUGCUCGUCGGCGCGGGUCAGCAGGAGGUGAGCAGCGAGCAUCAGUUCAUCUCAUCAGUUCAUCGCAGAUCAGGAAAGAAGCAGAGCAUUCUGCAUAGCAACUCAGCAAAUAUCAGCAUGCCGCAUUCAGUCCUGGGUUUAAGUGGAGACUGCACAGUCACCCAGCAGGCCGGGGGGAGGAAGUAGUGUGGGACGUUGCCAACCAUGACUGUUCUAGGUUAUGGACUGAGCUGCUGAACCACACGAGGAGAGUGACUCCAGGUUUACAGCUGUUAAUUACUGGUCUCUGCAUCUCUAAUCGCUUGUAAACCCAGAGAAUGUUUACAAUGCGCAGCUGCCCUUUAACUCCAUGUAUUAUUUAUGCAAAUGAUUCUGUUUUAUUGUGGUUCUGCCUGGAAUCACAAACACAAAGGUCAGUGGGGUUUCUUCCUGUUCUAGGUCCCCGUGGAAAAACCAGACCCUGGAGGAGCAUUCCAGAGAGAACAGGAACACGGCGUCCUCGUGGGCCCACCGGUGGAGUCUCCUCUGCUGGGUCUGGGAGCCAGAACCUGACUCAUCAGCUGCAUCCGUGCGGUGCAGGACGGGGAUCUCAUUCAGAAGAACAGCCGUUGGUUCUGGAUGGGGGUCACGAUGUGAAUGAGGAUGAUCCUGUAGUUGGAGUUGGAGCAGAUUGUCCCCCGUGGUGGUGGAGGAGGACUGGAGAAUAAAUGUUUCCUCAGAGUGGAGAAACCUUUCUAGCAGAUUCUGUGACUCAAGCUCACCUGGAUGAUCCCUCACACCGUUAUUAACUUCUUCUUCUGUGUUCUUCUGUUAUUGUGGAUGCCUUAUGUUUGUGUGGGUACAUGAGGAGGCUUAUCUGUUGUCAUGGCUGCCUGAUAUAAGGCGGAUCCAGUCAGACUGCAGGGAGAUUUAUGACAGGCUAAAUAUGACACAUCUCCACAUCAGUGCCUCUGGAAACUGGUCCAGGUUUGAAGAGUUAACUGAGUAAUGAUGCCUGACGAUCAUAGAAUAAUACGUGGGCGCUGUCAAAAUAUAGGAAACAGGAACGUGGGGGAUUAUUUUUAGUGCGCUGCCACUAAACUGGGGUCAAGACAAGAAAUGAUGCAAAGAUGUAAAAGACUUCAGGACAAGUCACACGUUGGUGUUUCUCACCCCAGGAGCUCGUUGGUGCUUUCGCCAAUUAGUCCCAUGUGGACUGUGACUGUCUCUCUAUGCAGAUUCAAAAUGACUGGCACCACACACUGCUCCACUGGUUCUGUUCGAGCUGAGGCCACAACACGAGUCCAGGUUCAAACGGAAAAACUUUAUUUAUCUGAAACAUUGGAG
ensembl:lncRNA